rnacentral:rRNA from 1 species
AUCAGGCGCGCAAAUUGCCCAAUCCUGACACAGGGAGGUAGUGACAAAAAAUAACAAUGCCGGGGCUAUGCUUUGGCAAUUGGAAUGAGGACAGCUUAAAUCCUUUAUCGAGGAUCAAUUGGAGGGCAAGUCUGGUGCCAGCAGCCGCGGUAAUUCCAGCUCCAAUAGCGUAUUCUAAAGUUGUUGCAGUUAAAACGCUCGUAGUUGAAGUGGAGACUUGGGUCUCUCCUUGGGUAGGGGGUUGUUGACAAGUUUGAUAGCCGACCAGCCCAUCAUUUACUGUGAGCAAACUAGAGUGUUCAAAGCAGGCUUAGGCCGUUGAAUACAUUAGCAUGGAAUAAUAAGAUACGACCUGUAGUAUUUUGUUGGUUUAGACUGUAGGUAAUGGUUGAUAGGGACAGUUGGGGGUAUUCGUAUUCAGUCGUUAGAGGUGAAAUUCUUAGAUCGACGGAAGACGGACGACUGCGAAAGCAUUUACCAAGGAUGUUUUCAUUAAUCAAGAGCGAAAGUAAGGGGAUCGAAGAUGAUUAGAUACCAUCGUAGUCUUUACCGUAAACGUUGCCGACUAGGGAUUGGAGUGUUUGAUGUUUUAAACCUUCAGCACCUUAGAGAAAUCAAGGUCUUUGGGUUCCGGGGGGAGUAUGGUCGCAAGGCUGAAACUUGAAGAAAUUGACGGAAGGGCACCACCAGGAGUGGAGCCUGCGGCUUAAUUUGACUCAACACGG